rnacentral:rRNA from 1 species
UACGUAGGGGGCAAGCGUUGUCCGGAAUCAUUGGGCGUAAAGCGCGCGUAGACGGCCCGGUAAGUCCGCUGUGAAAGUCAAAGGCUCAACCUUUGAAUGUCAGCGGAUACUGCCGGGCUAGAGUCCGGAAGAGGCGAGUGGAACUCCUGGUGUAGCGGUGGAAUGCGCAGAUAUCAGGAAGAACACCAACGGCGAAGGCAGCUCGCUGGGACGGAACUGACGCUGAGGCGCGAAAGCGUGGGGAGCGAACAGG